rnacentral:tRNA from 1 species
GGCGUGGCGGAAUUGGUAGACGCGGCUCUCUCAAAAAGAGUUUUUUAUGGGUUCAAGUCCCAUUAUCACCU